rnacentral:rRNA from 1 species
UACAGAGGGGGCAAGCGUUGUUCGGAAUCACUGGGCGUAAAGGGCGUGUAGGCGGUCAGGUAAGUGGGAUGUGAAAUGCCCCGGCUCACCCGGGGACCGGCAUCCCAUACUGCUUGGCUUGAGUACGGGAGAGGAUGUGGGAAUUCCUGGUGUAGCGGUGAAAUGCGUAGAUAUCAGGAGGAACACCGGUGGCGAAGGCGCACAUCUGGCCCGAUACUGACGCUGAGGCGCGAAAGCUAGGGGAGCAAACGGG